AGUGAACGCUGGCGGUAGACCUAACACAUGCAAGUCGAACGGCAGCACAGUAAGAGCUUGCUCUUACGGGUGGCGAGUGGCGGACGGGUGAGGAAUACAUCGGAAUCUACUUUUUCGUGGGGGAUAACGUAGGGAAACUUACGCUAAUACCGCAUACGACCUACGGGUGAAAGCAGGGGAUCUUCGGACCUUGCGCGAUUGAAUGAGCCGAUGUCGGAUUAGCUAGUUGGCGGGGUAAAGGCCCACCAAGGCGACGAUCCGUAGCUGGUCUGAGAGGAUGAUCGGCCACACUGGAACUGAGACACGGUCCAGACUCCUGCGGGAGGGAGCAGUGGGGAAUAUUGGACAAUGGGGGGAAGCCUGAUCCAGCCAUACCGCGUGGGUGGAGAAGGCCUUCGGGUUGUAAAGACCUUUUGUUGGGAAAGAAAAGCAGCAGGUUAAUACCCCGCUGUUCUGACGGUACCCAAAGAAUAAGCACCGGCUAACUUCGUG
rnacentral:rRNA from 1 species